AUUGAACGCUGGCGGCAGGCCUAACACAUGCAAGUCGAACGGUAACAGGAAACAGCUUGCUGUUUCGCUGACGAGUGGCGGACGGGUGAGUAAUGUCUGGGAAACUGCCUGAUGGAGGGGGAUAACUACUGGAAACGGUAGCUAAUACCGCAUAACGUCGCAAGACCAAAGAGGGGGACCUUCGGGCCUCUUGCCAUCGGAUGUGCCCAGAUGGGAUUAGCUUGUUGGUGGGGUAACGGCUCACCAAGGCGACGAUCCCUAGCUGGUCUGAGAGGAUGACCAGCCACACUGGAACUGAGACACGGUCCAGACUCCUACGGGAGGCAGCAGUGGGGAAUAUUGCACAAUGGGCGCAAGCCUGAUGCAGCCAUGCCGCGUGUAUGAAGAAGGCCUUCGGGUUGUAAAGUACUUUCAGCGGGGAGGAAGGGAGUAAAGUUAAUACCUUUGCUCAUUGACGUUACCCGCAGAAGAAGCACCGGCUAACUCCGCG
rnacentral:rRNA from 1 species